AUGUCCCCUGAAUAUGUUUUGAAAGGAGUGUUUUCUGUCAAGUCUGAUGUAUAUAGCUUUGGAGUUUUACUACUGGAGACUGUGAGUGGCUCAAAGAUUAGCUCUGUGCACCUAAAAGCAGACUUCAGCAGCAUUAUAGCCUAUGCAUGGAGCUUAUGGAAGGAUGGGAACACAAAGGAUUUUGUUGACUCGUCAAUUGUGGGGAGCUUCUCACUUAAUGAAACUUUACGGUGCAUCCAUAUCGGACUCUUAUGUGUUCAAGGCAGCCCAAAUGCGCGGCCACUCGUGUCAUCAAUCGUGUCCUUCCUGGAAAAUGGAGAUAUAUCACUUCCAACUCCAAAAGAGCCCAUGUAUUUUGCAGAAGAUAACUAUGGUACUGAUGGAGCAGCAGAAAAUACUGUGAAGUCUGCAAACAACAUGAGCAUUACAGUACUAGAAGGACGCUAG
rnacentral:rRNA from 1 species